GAAAGGGAAGGUCGAGGAUUGGAAAUAAGCACAAAGUGACGAGAAGUAUGAGCUCAUAGUGGCAGGGAUACCACUCAGCACAGCACCUGAUCCUGGACAUCUACACACUCCUGCCAUGCCAACACAUACUAGAUGUGAAGAGCACCUUCAUAAAAGUACUUGACCUAAACUAAACAAAUUUCCUAAUUGCAGUAAGACAACACUUGAGGGUGUGGUUACCACAGAAAAUCACACCCAUGGACAGAUUAGGAGCACCUGGCUGCACCUUAUGCCUCCUUCUGCCCCUGGGGCACAAUUAUCUCAUCAGGUACCACCUGCCAAGUCUUGUUGCUGAGAAGCAGGCAUUAGCACACCGGGCUAGGGGAAGGAGAAAAAAAGAGCAGAUGGGGCAGCAGGCAUAAGUGCUCGUCCCAGUCCAUUCUCAUAAAUUGAGUAUUUACACUGAGAUGAUGGAUUGGUUCUGCUCAGAAGUACUUCUGUGUUUUGGGUCUACAAAGGAAAGAAGACAAAGCCGAAGAGAGACACACGCGUUAUGACUUCCAACAUGUUCUGACCAUGAAAACAGCAUAUCGACUUCAAAUUCAAGGUGUAAAGCCUAACCCCUACAGCAAUUAGUGGAUUAUGGCCCAGCAACAGAAGACUGACCAAACUUUGGGCUCUGCCAGGCCUAUUGAGCUCCUGUGAAACAACGAAGAUCAUAAAAUUCAAGACAAAUCUCUGAGCCCAGAGGCACGGAGAAGCCCUGUUGUAAAGGAAAUGGAAUUAUAAGGAUGUGACAGCAUCAGCAGAACAGACGCAACACAUACAAAGGUAUUUUUCUCCUAUAUUUCAUAAUCUGCUAGUAAUACCUACUGGCUAAUAAAAAUUAUUUGCUAUACUGUGGUGUCAGAAUGCUUAGCUGCUCUGAAGGUUUAUGCUGCUAUUACCUUGUACAUACACACUCUCUUACAAGUUAUUCCCAAUCACUUUUUAGCAAAUAACUGAAUUAACUCUAUGUACCAGCAGAUAAUCCCCAAAAUAAGCUUAUUAAGAACACUCUCAUGUUGCUAGUGAAUGCACCCAGCCCUGAAGAAGAUGAACAGUGAAGGCGAUACACAAAUGGAAAGCCAGAACAGCCCCGUCUUUUUCAGAAGCUAAUUACAUGUAUGCAUACAGACACAUGUGCACUUAAACACGCACUGUGAGAAACGGUGCCAAACCGUG